AGCCCCAAAUGUCCGUGGAACCGGCCCCACUAACCUGCAUCCAGCUGCCUCUUCCACCUGGGCCCUGCUCUCAGAUGGAAGUGUCACCAAACACCCAGAUCGCCGUGCUCCUGCUUCUCUGGAGUGGACACAACCUGAAAACCAACUGGACUGAGCAUCCUUCUCCUAAAAUCUCAGCCAGAAGCCACGAUGGAGGGUCCUGGGAAGGGAAGAGAUGUGAAGAUUUCUGUGAUUCUAAAACCUUGGGUCUGCCUGCAAACUUCUCUCUGAUCCCAGCCGAGAGCUGUGCACACGCUAGCUAGCCCUGUCACACAAUAGCCCAGUGUUCCCGUCACAGUGCCUGGGAAUGAGAGGCUUUUGAGGCCACAGAGCUAUGACAAGUCCCCAGGUUGAAUUGACUCUGGGAGGACAAAUUUCUGAGAGACUCACGGGACCCUUAUCCAGGACAACCUCACAAAGAUCCCUGAAACUGAGCUUCCUCUGCUUCGUGCAUAGUUUGAGGUAUAAACUUUCCUUGUGUCUCGGUCAGAUGAAGUGAAGGAUGAAUAUUAUCCCAGGCUAAAGUAACGAAAAGUCCAGAAGCCAGCGAUGACAGAGAUGUGUGUGGAAGAAGGCUGUGAGCAUUUCCAUCAAACCCUGUGAGUUUCCGAAGAUCUUAUCCCGAAGAUAUGUGUUUGGCCAAUAAAACACUGAAUAAAAAUCCAUCAUGUUUCCAGGGCGCCUGGCCUCCAUCACAGCAUGCCCACUCUGUGCCCGCUGCAACCUCCUCUGACUCUCCCACUAGACCGGUGCCUGGUACACAUGCUCCUGCGUGCAUGAACAUCGGUCAGCUAUGGGUCCUCAAGAUGACAAAACCCCCUGCUCCUGUGUCCUCACGGGGAUCUGCACCAGCACUGGGCUGAACACUCUCCCUGCAAUCUGUCAGUCACGUCUUCUGUAGCAUUUUCUUUCUGGCAACAACGGUUGGGGUCAUUAAAAGUGUCUUUGAAAUG
rnacentral:lncRNA from 1 species